AAUAUAGGUAUUUUAUUAUUUACGUUUAAGUGGUGUGUACGGCAAGAGUGUGACGAUCAAUGGCGUGGAAAGUGAAAUUUGAUUUGUGGGUAAAUUAAAUUGACUAGUGACCCACCUCAAAAGUUAGUUAACUGACCCGUGGAGUGCACCCUCUUUAGAGUUAUAGACUUUUAAACUCUGAACGUAGUGAGAAAUAUAUUGGUUUU